GUAGGGAAUCUUCCGCAAUGGGCGAAAGCCUGACGGAGCAACGCCGCGUGAGUGAUGAAGGUCUUCGGAUCGUAAAACUCUGUUAUUAGGGAAGAACAUAUGUGUAAGUAACUGUGCACAUCUUGACGGUACCUAAUCAGAAAGCCACGGCUAACUACGUGCCAGCAGCCGCGGUAAUACGUAGGUGGCAAGCGUUAUCCGGAAUUAUUGGGCGUAAAGCGCGCGUAGGCGGUUUUUUAAGUCUGAUGUGAAAGCCCACGGCUCAACCGUGGAGGGUCAUUGGAAACUGGAAAACUUGAGUGCAGAAGAGGAAAGUGGAAUUCCAUGUGUAGCGGUGAAAUGCGCAGAGAUAUGGAGGAACACCAGUGGCGAAGGCGACUUUCUGGUCUGUAACUGACGCUGAUGUGCGAAAGCGUGGGGAUCAAACAGGAUUAGAUACCCCAGUAGUCC
rnacentral:rRNA from 1 species